UACGAAGGGGGCUAGCGUUGCUCGGAAUCACUGGGCGUAAAGCGCACGUAGGCGGAUUGUUAAGUCAGGGGUGAAAUCCUGGAGCUCAACUCCAGAACUGCCUUUGAUACUGGCGAUCUUGAGUCCGGGAGAGGUGAGUGGAACUGCGAGUGUAGAGGCGAAAUUCGUAGAUAUUCGCAAGAACACCAGUGGCGAAGGCGGCUCACUGGCCCGGUACUGACGCUGAGGUGCGAAAGCGUGGGGAGCAAACAGG
rnacentral:rRNA from 1 species